AUUUUAGUUUAUACUAAAAUGUUUUCUAUUUUCCAGCAAAAUCAACAUCGCCUGCGAAUGAAUCAGUCAAUGGUUCCCAGAUGAACCUAUAAUGCUUGGUCAAUCACACAUAAGGUUUUAAUUGGCUGCUGCUGCACCGAUAUGAAACCUUUAUGUUGGUCGUGCUCAGUACGAAUCGAAAGAGGCAGAAGGAAGCAUCCCCGACCCCAUUGGAAGAAG